rnacentral:sRNA from 1 species
GAAUGUGAGGCAAUCUGACUGUGACAUCUCUCACCCCAUUGAUCAUAACGAUUGAUUUGGCUCAUCUGGCUGUUUCCUUCUUCCCUCAUUGCUCUAUGUACAUUUCUCCCAGAGCUGCACAUUCAGUAGAAGAGGAUUACCACUGCAGACAGAUGAAGGGUAUUUUAAAUUUUCACCAUGUGACUUGCACUGGUAUGUAUUCAGAUAAAGAAGACAUUUUAUUUAUUUUCCCUACGGGAAUGAGGGAAAUG